CAUGUACUCCCUCCGUCCCAAAAUUCUUGUCUUAGAUUUGUCUAGAUACGGAUGUAUCUAAUACUAAAACGUGACUUGAUACAUCCGUAUCUAGACAAAUCUAAGACAAGAAUUUUGGGACGGAGGGAGUAGUAG
rnacentral:pre_miRNA from 1 species